GUCAGCUCUUUGUGAUGUUUUGACUGCUCUGCGAAGUAGCUGUAGUAGAGAUGCUUACAAGUGUGAGCUAGAGUCCAAAUCAAGUCUCUUGUGUUUGGAAUGAGUUUAAUCACCUGCUAUGUUCAAUACUCAUCAAUAACGAAAUCUGUAACUGACCUGUUUUGCAUCUACAACUAAUCACAGCUUAUAAACAACUGUAAGUCAACACACCCCCCAGACACUCAAACUAGUAACGUUAACUAAAUAACUUACAUGAAUGUUACAUGAACAAUAAACCUGUAACCUGUUUGCAGCAAACGUUAAUUAACCUGAUGGCAGCCAUUGGGACGUCAAUGAUUACGUUAAUCGACUACCACACGUUGGCAAGUAAACAAACGUUCAUUCAUCUUUUCAUAAUGAACGACAGUUGGAGUUAACGUCCGGUAGGCUGUAGCUAAAGCCAAAAGCAAGCUGACAUUAGAUGGCCAAUGCUGAGCUAAACUUUUACUAACCUCAGGUUACUGGCCUAUUUUGCGAUCGGAGCUUUUGUUAGGGUCUUGUUGUAUAAAGUUUUAAAGCCAAAAUUUUAUGAUGACUGGAACAGCAGCUGCCGGUGUUUGCUGUCCUCACUCGUGUGGCCGCACGCAGCAGAGACAGCGUAUAUGUUACGCAGCGAGGUUAUAGGUAACGCAGGGAGGGGAACAGCAAGCUCAUCAGACGUUUCCUAAAAAUAAACAUUGUUUACGAGUCCCGCACCUCGAGUCCGAGUCAAGUCUGAAGUCUUUUGAGGAAGAGUCUCAAAUGAAGCAAGGUAAGGUAUCACUAUUGUCAACGUUUAAAGAUUGUUUAAUUGUAAUGGAGACCAGGGGUUCCAUUACCUGAAAUAGUUAAGUGUGUCUAGGUGGGGAUUAUUGAUACAGCAGGAAGCCAUGCACAUUCUUAUUUUGUUUGUUUAUUUAAGAAAUAUUUGAUGACCGUCUUUGCUGUGAGUAGUUUCAGAGGAGGUAGAGGAGGAGGAAGCACGGGGGUUUGGUCAUCCUGCCUGUGUGAAAAGAAACCUCAAUCGGUAAUAAUCAAGGUUCACAAUAUAGUAGUGAGUGAUUCUACUCUAUUCCAGUUAGUUAUCAAAUUAGCACAAACAGAUAAAGCAAACAUUGAUAGUGAUCACCACUUCCUGGUUGUCUCUUCAGCAGGGGUCGGAGGCAAAGGUGUGUGAUAGGCCCAAGCACCUGCAUAAGAUCUGCAGGAGCAAACCAUGAUGCUGAGGGUGGGGGGAGUAAAGACAUCAACAAUGCUGAUUUAUGUGAUUAUUUUGAGUGUAUGCGUUAUUGAUUUCUAUGGUAAAUAUUAUAUUAUUAGAAAUAUUAAUAUUAUUCUAAAUGAUUGUUGUCCCACCUAAGUAGUUUUGUCCACUUAAUUACCUGCAGUAGGGAGUGUAUAUAAGGCCUUCAGUGUAAGUUUGUUGCUGGUUGGUGUUGGUGUCUCAUCGUGUCUGUAUGGAAGACAACAAAUGCCCCAUUUGUGCUUUGUGUUUAACCUAUGUCUCUCUCUGGAGAAAACUUAAAGCCACUGCUAGGCAAUCGAACAUUAAUGAUAAUCAAAACUAGACUUGCAUUUCGUGAAGAGACCUUGCUUUUGAAUAGUACUUCAUUGAUACUUAAAAUCCUGUAACUUCUGCUCCUAGACAUCACCUGGGCAGCUGGUCCUCCCAGUACUCCUUCUGGUGAGGAAACCUAGGAGACCUAGUACUCGCCAAGUGGUUGCAAGUAAACACCCUGAACCACUUGGCCCUAGCACAAUGAGUAUAUCUGACCUUCUCCUUCCACAGUUCGAGGCAGGUGAAUUGUUCCAUGUAGAAAAGACCUAUGAGCAAGGCAACAUCAAAUGAUACAGGGUCACCUCCUGAUGUCAAAGUUGUUGGACAGGAUUUUACCAGCAAUCUUCAGCCAUUAACCCUAGACAGAAGUUGGGUUGACUAUCCUUUUGACUACAUGUUCCUUACUGGCCAGUAUCCUCCUGGCACAGUAUCUCAUGCUGUUAUUAGCUUGGAGCAAGGAAGGGACCAGUAGCAAGACAUACUACAUAAGUGAUUCCUUUCCUGACAACGCCAGCACUCAGAAUGUUUUGUCCCUCCCUACUGAUUUUUGAAGCCCCUUAGCUUGUCAAACAGCCCAGCCAACCUGGACAGCAAAGUAUUGACGGCACCAGCUAUGGUCAGAGUGGUGCAAUGUUUCAACAAAACCAGCUCUGCGGAGAAGCUGGUGUACAAGGGUCUUACUUCCAGCCAGGAUGGUUUCAACAACAGCAGGGCAUCUGCACAUGGAUAUGGCCAGAGCAAGGAUGGAUACUGAGUGAAUCCCUGCAGACCUUAUUCUAAUUCAAUAAAUAUCCUAAACUCUU